rnacentral:rRNA from 1 species
GUGCCAGCAGCCGCGGUAAGACGGGGGGUCCAAGCGUUGUUCGGAAUCAUUGGGCGUAAAGCGGGCGUAGGUGGCCAUGUAAGUUAGGAGUGAAAGCCCUGGGCUCAACCCAGGAAGUGCUCUUAAUACUGCAUGGCUUGAAUGUGGGAGAGGGUAGUAGAAUUCCAGGUGUAGUGGUGAAAUACGUAGAUAUCUGGAGGAAUACCGGUGGCGAAGGCGGCUACCUGGCCCAACAUUGACACUGAGGCCCGAAAGCGUGGGGAUCAAACAGGAUUAGAUACCCUGGUAGUCC